GUGAAUCAUCAAAUCUUUGAACGCAAAUUGCACUCCCUGGUAUUCCGGGGAGUAUGCCUGUUUGAGGGUCGUUAGAAGAAAAAUCGAAGCAUCGCUCUUUUUUUAAGGGUGAUCGCGUCGGAAUUGAGCCGUCUUUCAGCUGUUACGUCAUGUCAAAGUUGCUUAAAAUUCAUCCAUCCGUUACGACUAAAGCGUAUUUAGGAACAACUUUGAUGAAGAAAGCGCGAGGACGUACGAUCUCGUGUAGUACAUUUGAC
rnacentral:misc_RNA from 1 species